rnacentral:rRNA from 1 species
AUUGAACGCUGGCGGCAGGCCUAACACAUGCAAGUCGGACGGUAGCACAGAGGAGCUUGCUCCUCGGGUGACGAGUGGCGGACGGGUGAGUAAUGUCUGGGGAUCUGCCCGAUAGAGGGGGAUAACCACUGGAAACGGUGGCUAAUACCGCAUAACGUCGCAAGACCAAAGAGGGGGACCUUCGGGCCUCUCACUAUCGGAUGAACCCAGAUGGGAUUAGCUAGUAGGCGGGGUAACGGCCCACCUAGGCGACGAUCCCUAGCUGGUCUGAGAGGAUGAACAGCCACACUGGAACUGAGACACGGUCCAGACUCCUACAGGAGGCAGCAGUGGGGAAUAUUGCACAAUGGGCGCAAGCCUGAUGCAGCCAUGCCGCAUGUAUGAAGAAGGCCUUCGGGUUGUAAAGUACUUUCAGCGGGGAGGAAGGCGAUGUGGUUAAUAACCGCAUUGAUUGACGUUACCCGCAGAAGAAGCACCGGCUAACUCCGUGCCAGCCGCCGCAGUAA